GAAUAUUGCACAAUGGGGGAAACCCUGAUGCAGCGACGCCGCGUGAGUGAAGAAGUAUUUCGGUAUGUAAAGCUCUAUCAGCAGGGAAGCUAAUGACGGUACCUGACUAAGAAGCCCCAGCCAACUACGUGCCAGCAGCCGCGGUAAUACGUCGGGGGCAAGCGUUAUCCGGAUUUACUGGGUGUGAAGGGAGUGUAGGUGGCCAGAUAAGUCAGAUGUGAAAGCCCAGGGCUCAACCCUGGGACUGCAUUUGAAACUAUCCGGCUAGAGUGCAGGAGAGGUAAGUGGAAUUCCUAGUGUAGCGGUGAAAUGCGUAGAUAUUAGGAGGAACACCAGUGGCGAAGGCGGCUUACUGGACUGUAACUGACACUGAGGCUCGAAAGCGUGGGGAGCAAAC
rnacentral:rRNA from 1 species